CUUUUGGUUUAUAAAUAUAAAUAGGCAAAAGUUAAAAGGGAAUGUGAUGAAAUUUCACAACAGCCCCCACUACUGUGAUAGAGGAUGAAAGCUAAAAUUAUAAAUUCCAUUGAGAUAUUUUCUUGAGAAGGAGUUUAGUGAGUAAAGAGAUUCUUAAGUCAGGAAACCUGCCAUAACUUU
rnacentral:ncRNA from 1 species